rnacentral:rRNA from 1 species
GAUCCUGGCUCAGGAUGAACGCUAGCUACAGGCUUAACACAUGCAAGUCGAGGAGAAACGACAUCGAAAGCUUGCUUUUGAUGGGCGUCGACCGGCGCACGGGUGAGUAACGCGUAUCCAACCUGCCCAUCACUUGGGAAUAACCUUGCGAAAGUAAGACUAAUGCCCAAUGACAUCCCACGAAGGCAUCCGAAUGGGAUUAAAGAUUUAUCGGUGAUGGGUGGGGAUGCGU